CCGGCAGCGUGUCUGACCUUGCUUAUUCUAUUCUUCAUUCGCUUUGCGCUUGCAGUCUAUCUCCAAAUAUGAAAUCUGUACUGGCCUUUCUUACAUGCCUUUGCGCCCUUACAAGAAUUUUGGCAAAUGAAGUGGAAAUACCAUCAGUAAUAUCUGAAAGAGCAGAACUUGUGGAACCUUCGGGAGAAUCUCGUCCUUUGGGAAAAGAAGGUCCAAUGAAACGGAAAGAUAUGACUGGACAAACAACGAGCCCGCUAAUUCUGGCCUGACAAUCAACGCUACCAAACACAACUAUUUGAACGACCUCUGACGUAUUCAAGCAUCUUAUCAAUUAGAAAGUAAGGCACGGAAAUACCAAACGUUGCUGUGUGCAUGCGACAGAUAAAUAAAGUUUUUGUGAACUGCAUCAAUUUGGCAGCACAGUAUUGGACCAGAAG